rnacentral:misc_RNA from 1 species
GAAGAUUUCAAUGGUAAACAGCGGCUCUUUGGCCUGAUACGAAGCAGCCAUAGCCGUCAAUGGUCACCUUCAAACCGAAGCUAGUUGUACCAAUCUUCUUGUCUCCUCUCUCUCAGCGCUUCCCCAAUCUCUUUUCUUCCUCUUUCUCGUCUUCUACUAUAAGCUCACAAGAUGACUUCAACGCUGCUCUCUCUAACGAGGAAUCUUUACUAGCAGGCAAAUUUCACUCCCUAAUCAAAGACCACCACCGCAAAAACCCAAGCCUUACCUUCCCCACCGUUCCGUCUCUAUCACUUGAAUUUUCUCAAAUCUCCACCACCCAUUUCACCCCCAUCUCCCCCUUCGUCGUCCGUCGCGUCAUCGAGAAAUGCCGCGCUGUACGGCACGGCAUCCCUUUCCUCCAGGCCCUUGCCUUCUUCAACUGGGCCACCACUCGGGAUGGAUUCUUCCCCUCUCCCGAACCUUAUAACGAGAUGAUAUCCCUCGCCGGUAAGGUCAGGCAAUUCGAUUUGGUUUGGAAUGUAAUCGAUUCAAUGAAAGCUAGAAAUGUUGAAAUUAGAAUCGAGACCUUUUCAAUUCUUAUUCGCCGCUACGUUAGUGCUGGAUUGGCUGUGGAGGCGGUACACGCGUUUAACCGUAUGGAGGAUUAUAAUUGUAAGCCUGAUAAGAUUGCAUUUUCGAUUUUGAUUAGUAUUCUGUGUAGGAAACGAAGAGCUAGCGAAGCUCAGUCAUUUUUUGAUAGUUUAAAGGAUAAAUUUGAAGCUGAUGUUAUUGUGUACACCAACCUGGUUCGUGGGUGGUGUCGUGCUGGAAAUAUACCAGAAGCCGAGAGGGUGUUCAGGGAAAUGAAAAUGGCUGGAAUUAAGCCCAAUGUGUAUACAUACAGUAUUGUCAUCGAUGCUUUAUGUAGGUGUGGGCAAAUUACUCGUGCUUGUGAUGUUUUUGCAGAGAUGCUUGAUGUGGGCUGUGAACCAAAUUCCAUAACUUUCAAUAAUUUAAUGAGGGUACAUGUUAAAGCUGGCAGGACUGAGAAGGUUUUGCAAGUGUAUAAUCAAAUGAAGAGGAUGGGAUGUUCUCCUGAUACGAUAACAUAUAAUUUUAUUAUACAGACUCAUUGCAGAGAAGAUAAUCUUGAGGAAGCUUUGAAGGUGCUUAAUUCAAUGGUUAAGAAAGGGUGUAGGCCAAAUGCUUCUACUUUUAAUACUUUAUUUGAAUGCAUUGCCAAGUUGGGUGAUGUGAAUGGUGCACACAGAAUGUAUGCUAAGAUGAAGGAGUUGAAGUGUAAGCCCAAUACUGUGACAUACAAUAUCCUAAUGCGAAUGUUUGCUGACUCAAAAUCGACUGACAUGGUUCUGAAGCUGAAGAAGGAAAUGGAUGAGAAUGAUGUUGAACCUAAUGUGAAUACCUACUGUGUUUUGAUUUCAAUGUAUUGUGGAAUGGGGCACUGGAAUAAUGCAUACAAGUUCUUCAGGGAGAUGAUUGAAGAGAAAUGCAUGAAACCAAGUCUGCCAGUUUAUGAGAUGGUCCUGCAGCAACUUAGAAAAGCAGGGCAGUUAAAGAAGCAUGAAGAAUUGGUGGAAGUUAUGGUUGACAGAGGAUUUAUUAGUCGUCCUUUGUAGAAGAAGUUAUGCCUUCUUCACCCAUAAGCUAAAUUAGGCGAUCUUUGUUUCUUUUUGUAGCUUAAUAUUUCUCGUUUAAGGUGUACAUAUUCAUGUUUUGGUGAUUCUAAAGGUUAAGGCUGUAAACUAGAAACAUUGUCCUUUUUCAUCAUGUAGAAGAGGGUUUUAAAUUUAUUCAAUUCGAGAAUGACUAGCUAUGCAUUGAUUAUGAAUAUAUCAACUCUUUCCAGAUAUCAUGUUUAGUUGUAGCCUGCAAUUGACUGCUUUACAUGACCUAGACCUGACUUGCUUAAAUUGCAAUGAACCUGACCCAAACCUUCCAGAUCUCCAAUAUUUCUUACUAGGCCUUAAAAUGCAAUGUUUUGAUUAAUCGCAUAAAAAUGCAAAUAUGUUCGAUGUUACAUGGCAGUUACAACU